rnacentral:lncRNA from 1 species
AAUUGUGGCUUUGGAAGAUAUUAUUUACCCAAACGCGGAGAGCUUCCUUUAGACCCCAAGUUGCUGGUUGUUUCCCAUUAGGGCUGCCUUUUGGAUAAUACUUCUCUACAUAUUUUGGAGCUGAAGCUAUUGAUAUAUAAAGCCUUAACUCUCGUUGACGCCAAGGCCAACCAAGAGUUUUCUCGACUCCAGAACGCCAAACUCGGAAUGCAGUACAUGAUCGUGCUUCGCAAGAACUAAGAUAUAUGCAUGAAAGUAAAAGGAAGAAAUCGUGCGCGUGAGAUCCACUCGCGGCGAUUUCUUUCUCCCUUCUCUUUCUUCUUCUGAGCACAACUUCUUGCUUUUCCGAUGGGUCCUCCGUCGAUUCCGGCGACGAUGAAGACUCUAUGGCUCAUGGUUCUUCAACUACGCAAUCUGCUGCAUCUUCUAAGCUUCACAAACGAAUCAAAAUCAAGGGAGAAGCGAAGAGGGAUAGCUUCGGCGAGACACCGUCGAUGACUCCACCGGGGGUGUAGCGCCGCAGAAUGGAAGAGGAAGUUUUCACGGCGAAGCAUGAGAGAGAAGACGGUUAGGUCUGGAACCGGAGAUCCUGGAGGCUUCAUUAGGCCGCCGCUUGAUGGGGGAGGUUGACUCCGGUCGGGUGGAGCUAAGCCACUGUUGACGGUUCCUAGAUCUACUCCCUACCGCCUUUCAAUCUCACGUCGGAGCUUGAAGCUUUCUCGACACCAACAGCUCGGUUUCUUCCUCUUCCUCAAAGUUUUUCUACGGUGGCGGAGAGGCAAACGGAUCUUGGAUCACCUCCUCCGUUCGAUCCGCGUCGUCCAGGUACACCGGAGGUCCGGUCGGUGUGCAUCCGCAGUUGUGGAUGGCGGCUGCGACGCGUUUUGCGUUGUAGAUUAGGGUUUCUGUGGGUACCGGUUAAUUUUGGUACUCCGAAACCGGAUCGGUUUUGUUUUAGUUUGGUUUAGUUUGGUUAGAUGUCAGAUUGGGUCCUAUGGGGUUAUUGUAUGGGCGUAUUCCGGAAAUAUGUAAGCCCAUUGGGCAUUAUUAUUUAAAUUGCAAGCCUUUUUCAAAAAAAAAAAAAAAGAAAGAACUAAGAUAUAUAAUGUGAAUCUUUGUUUCAUCCAUUGUUGUUUCUCUUUUUUCUUUUGGUGCUUUGUUGUCUUCUUCUUGUUGUCGUAGCGUCUUUGUAUUCUCCCCAAUCCCACACAGAAGAACAAAUUGUAUAAUGUUAUUUUUUUUUUGAACCCCAACAAAUUAUAACGUUUAAACUGCUUAAUGAAUUCGAUCGGGUGUGAUGAUUUUUUUUUUCUCUUAUUUAUUUUUGUAUUAAACCCUAGCUAAGAUACUUUGUGCCAUCACCAGAUUCUCAAAUUCAGGGGAAAAUGAAUAAAUUUUUAAAACUGGUCUUUUUCCUAAAUUUUCACAUCUAGAUCCCUAGAUCUACUUGAUGGCAACAACAAAAAAAAACAUAGAUCUACUGUUAAAUGAUACAUGAUGAUAACAUGAUGAUGAGCUUGAUCUGAUCCUUCAGAUAUCUUAAACCCUAGUGUUUAACAUGCACAUCGUCCCUAAUUUAUGCAAAAUCUUUCGAAGGUUUGAGAUGCACUAGCUAAUAUAUGAUUUUGUUUGUAAGGCACAGACGAAUCAUUUGACCAUUCAUGUCUUAUAGCAUGCAUCUAAUUCAAUCAUCCCCCAUGAUUGGUUUAUACUUCUCUUCUAAUACCUUCUUCAUCCUCUUAUAUGUUGGCACAUCCCUCUGCUAGAGAACAAGUUUUUUUUUAUACAUUGAAUCGUGUAACAACAAACUUCAGAUCAAUUUGACAUUAAAUCUAACAUUUAUUCUACCAUGCAUCAAUUUUAGACUUUGAAAGCUCAUGUAAACCCCACCAACCAUUAGUACAAUAUUACAAGUCAAGUCCCAACAAGUGUUCCUUUUUGGACUCCUUUCCCAAAAACAAUAUACUAAUGAAAGUUAAUUAGUGUUUUUAUGUCGUUUUUCUCUUCUUUUUAUAGACACUCAUUUACUUAAUACCCCUAUAAUAAAUUGAUAAUCAUUUGUAACAGGAUUAGAUUAUAAUAUUAUCACAAUUAUCUAUGAAGCAGAAAAAAAAACAUAUAUACCUGAAUCAAUUAUGAAUUUACCAUUUUUGGGACCAAGUUUCUGAUUUUGCCAUUUUUGAUAAAAUCUUAUGGAUUUGCCAUUUUUAAGUUAGAAAAAUGUGAUUAAACACUCAUUUUACUCGUUAUGUUUGGAUUUAGUCGAUGUUAAUUGUCUUUAUGAUUUUGUAUUUAUUAUAAGUACGUUUUUAGCAAAAAUAAAAAUGAACACUUUUAAAACUUCAAAAUGGCAAAUCCAUAAGAUUUUAGCUAAAUGGCAUAUUCGUAAAGUUUGCCCUAAAAAUGACAAAAUCCGUAAGAAUCCGUAUACAUAUACGUUUCUUGCGAAACACAAUGAAAUAUUAAUGAGAAUUUUUGAGAAAUAUUAAUUCUAUUUUAAACAUUCCAAAUGCGAAGAAGUUCUUUCUAUGCUUUGUUCUAGGAUAUAUGACUUCGAAGAUUAUUCUCAUAGCUCUGCUCCUUACAAGGCCUUGAAAGAAACGACAAAGGCAUUGGUGCUAGUGGACACAUUCUGUCAACACAAAAGACAUCAAAUUAUAAUACUUACCACAACCCAAUUCCAAUAUUACUGUAAACCCAUAUAGCAUGGCUACAACAAGUUACUAUAAAUGCGUAAAUAUAUGUCAUGAGUUUGUCACAAAUAUCAAUCGAUAUUGCCUAUGAGCACUUCGUCACUACACGAUGCACGUGGCUAUAUAUACAUUCCAAAGGUUGGGAACAGAAGCUUCUUGAUAUAUAUAACAAUACACGUUACCAAUAUAAAGCAGACACAAAUUGUCCUGAUUAAAGGUGGCUAACUAGUAAAAGCAUGUGGACACUGCAUUUCAAACCAUAGGUCCUACUACGUCAAAUUAUUCUAAAUUGGCGUUUUGGUAUUUUAUUAAUUAUAUUAUACUUCUUUACCUUAAUCUACUAGAUGAUAUCUCACUCUAUAUGCGAUGAUAUCAAAAAAAUAAAAAUAAACAUAGAUUUCAUUGAUAAAAACAUAGAUUUCAUUAUAACAUGUAAGAAGAUUAUUAUUACAUGUUAAUUAGCUAUUACAUUGUUCAUUAUACUGUUGAAAACCUUUAAUAUACCAAAAAAAAAUAUAAAUGUUUAUUCCAAAAAAUAGAUUUUAAUUAUGUUUCUUGAAGCAAAUGAUUGACUAAACAUAUAUUUUUAAAAGACCUCCUUAUCUUUAUUUUUAAUCUUAUCUACAAAAACUGAUGUUAUGAAGAUUUUAUUAAAAUCUUGAAACGCAUUCUAAUGAUGUUAAUAAACUUUGAUGUUUGGAAUUUGAUUUAGUAGGUGAAAUGGUUGUUUGGCAACAUGUAUAGUAGAAAUUUACUAUUUAGUAAAUAAAUUUCGUCUACCAAAAUACCUUUACCCUAUUUUUCAAACGAUUAGAUUUCUUAAGAUUCUCUCCAAUGACAUUGUAUAAUUAGAUCAAAUUUUACUUUCAAGAUCUUCCUUUUAGUAUAUAUGAAUAAAAAUAUUGAAGUGGUAAUUUUUGAAAUUAGAAGCAAAACUAGAGUUGUCCUCCAUGUGAGACUAUAUAAAAUAUUAAAUUAAAUACAUGCAUCUAGAUUUGUUAAUAUUUAGAAACUUCCAAUGAAUUUAUGAGAAAUAUUAAAUUAAAUACAUGCAUCUAGAUCUAAUCUUCAUUUUAUUUAUUUAAUCGUUCAUCUCUAAAAAAAAAAUUAACAUUCGGUUUUAUCUUUUUCUCAUCAAAAUUAAUAUUUACCUUUCAUUCUUUUUUUGCAAAAAGACAAGAUAUAGAUUAAGAUUAGUUUUGUUUAAAAUGACAACUAAUGUUACUACAUGUAAAUGACAUAAGUAGUAAAGACAUAAAGAAGACGAACGACCAAAAUAAAAAAAGAGUCCACCAUAGACAAACCCAUAUAAAAUUUAUUCAAGCUUCAACACAUUUUCUUCCUUACACCACCAACUUUGUAUAUAGUACUCUAAACGUUUUCAUAUCAUUCGUCUAAGGUACCUGAUUAUUCUAUUUAAUUUAUUCAUGCCACUAAAAUUCUACUUCAAAAUAUAUAUAUUUCUAGUAGCAUAUUCAACAAAAUGAUUCAAAAUCGUCACAGUUCUCAAUUCUCACCAACACCAACUAACCAAUGCAAAUGUAGUAUAUAAACAAGCAUUGAGAUGUAUCACAGUUCUCACCACCAACUAAAGUAUCAAACAAGUAAAUAGAAAAGUGUGAAGAAGAAAGAUAAUGUCUCCUACUCCAGAAUGGGUCAUGGUUGGAGGAGAAGGUUCUGAGAGUUACAAGAAGCAUUCCUCAUAUCAGGUUUAUAUAUAGUUUAAGUGAUUCUUGAAUUCCAAGCUCUAGAUUCUUAAGAUGUGUUUCAACAGUCUUUUCUUUGAUACGGCUUUUUAUAGAGAGCGUUGGUGGAAGCAGCAAAUGAAAAGAUAAGCGAGGCGAUCUCAGCGAACCUUAUUCUUGAUUUGGUUUCGAAUUGGGUUUGUGUAGCGGAUUUUGGCUGUGCGAGUGGACCUAACACUUUUGUGGCAGUCCAAAGCGUUAUAGAUGCUGUGGAAAACAAAUACCGUAGAGAAACCGGACAAAACCCCGGGGAUAACAUCGAGUUCCAAGUCCUCUUCAAUGACUUAACCACUAACGAUUUCAACACUCUCUUCAAGACACUUCCCUCGGAAAGGAGGUAUUAUAGCGCGGGUGUUCCUGGUUCUUUCUUCGACCGUGUUCUUCCUAAGCAAAGUUUUCACAUAGGAGUCAUGAAUUACGCUUUUCAAUUCAUGUCGAAAAUCCCCAAAGGGAUCUUGGACCGCGACUCCACCAUAUGGAACAAAGAUAUACAUUGCACCGGAUUCAACAACAAGGUGAAGCAAGCAUAUCUUGAUCAAUACUCUGUCGACUCCAAAGCUAUAUUGGAUGCACGAGCUGAAGAGCUCGUACCCGGGGGAUUAAUGUUGCUUUUAGGAUCAUGUCUAAAAGACGGUACCAAGAUGUCAGAAACCUAUAGAGGAAUUGUCCUAGAUUUAAUCGGAGCUUCUCUAAAUGAUCUUGCUCAUCAGGUAUAUUUUAACUUAACAAACUAUUUACAAUCACAUAAUUACUAACAUUAUCUUCUUUUUUUGUUUUUGUUUUUAAGGGUGUCAUCGAGCAAGACAAAGUAGACUCGUUCAAUAUCACACUCUACAUUGCAGAGGAAAGCGAGUUGAGACAAAUCAUAGAGGAGAAUGGGAAGUUCACACUUGAGGGUUUUGAGGAUAUACUUCAGCCAAACAAAGAGUCAUCAGAACCAAAGAUCUUUGCUGCCUCAGCUAAAGCUGCCUUAGGUGGUAUCUUAACCGCACAUUUUGGAGAGGAAGGCAUGAUAAAAGCCUUUGAGCUCGUCGAGGCCAAGGCUCACCAAAACUUUACUCGUAUCGAGAAUGCUAAAUCUGGAAUGCAGUACCUCAUUGUACUUCGCAAGAACUGAGUGAUGAUACAAAUACAUUGUGAAUCUUUGUUACUUUCUUCUAGUGCGAUGUCUUCAUCUUCUAGUUGUUGUGUGUAUGUCUUAUAUAUAUAUUUAGAUUUUUAAAAAACGAAGAAAACCUAAGAAACUAACAAAACAAUAAACUGAAUUCAAUUUAAACAUACACAGUUGGUAUAUUAUGAAGACUCUAAAUCCCUUGCUAAUGUAUUUUAGAAUUUUACGUCAUUUAGUAGACUGUGGUUUAAAUGUAAUUAAUCAAAGUUAUAAUCAUAUCCGUUUUAAGAAAUUAACAAAUAGUCAUAGUUUUUUAACAAAAAAAAAACAAAUAGUCAUAGUUGUAAUGACAAUUGAUUGUAUUUUCACUUACGUACUCUCAGAUCAAUUAAUCAACUUAAAAUUAUACUUUUCAUUCGACAAUUUUUUUUGACCAAUUACAAUAAACAAAAGAGAUUAAGAACUGAUAUAAACUCUUUCAGACUUCUGAAAAUUAGAUAAUGGCAUAUUCUCAUACUUUUUUCAAA